UAAUUCUUUUAAGAUACUCACAUCUUUAUUUUUCAGAGACUCAAAGAAGAAGAAAAAAGAAAAAGCCUCUUUAUAUGAUGAACUAAAUAAAUAUUUAAAAGCUAUGGAAUCCUUCCAUUCUAAUCUAUCCUAAGAAAUAUAUUUUAUAAUUUAUAAAACAUGGGAUACUCAUUUAUUUUGAUCUGAAAAGGAGUUUCUCCACC
rnacentral:lncRNA from 1 species